AUAUUCUGGGUUCUCUUCAGAUCAUAUAAAUCUUUUGCUUUUUGCUAAAUAUUUCCGUGGAGAGAAACAAUUCUGAGUCUUAACCCAAUUUGUUGAGGCCUUGCUGUAGCAAGGGA
ensembl:snRNA U5 U5 spliceosomal RNA